rnacentral:rRNA from 1 species
CGAACGGGUGAGUAAUGUAUCGGAACGUGCCCAGUAGUGGGGGAUAGCCCGGCGAAAGCCGGAUUAAUACCGCAUACGACCUACGGGUGAAAGAGGGGGAUCGCAAGACCUCUCGCUAUUGGAGCGGCCGAUAUCAGAUUAGGUAGUUGGUGGGGUAAAAGCCUACCAAGCCGACGAUCUGUAGCUGGUCUGAGAGGACGACCAGCCACACUGGGACUGAGACACGGCCCAG